rnacentral:rRNA from 1 species
AACGCGAAGAACCUUACCUGGGCUCGAACGGCUUCAGACCGUCGUGGAAACACGAUCUUCCCCUUAAAAGGACUGGAGUCGAGGUGCUGCAUGGCUGUCGUCAGCUCGUGUCGUGAGAUGUUGGGUUAAGUCCCGCAACGAGCGCAACCCUUGUCCUGUGUUGCCACUCCGUAAGGAAGCACUCUCAGGAGACCGCCAGCGAUAAGCUGGAGGAAGGUGGGGAUGAUGUCAAGUCAUCAUGGCCUUUAUGUCCAGGGCUACACACGUGCUACAAUGGGCGGUACAAAGCGCUGCAAACCCGCGAGGGGGAGCUAAUCGCAAAAAACCGUUCUCAGUUCGGAUCGCAGGCUGCAACUCGCCUGCGUGAAGCUGGAAUCGCUAGUAAUGGCGUAUCAGAAUGAUGCCGUGAAUACGUUCCCGGGCCUUGUA